rnacentral:rRNA from 1 species
AGUGAACGCUGGCGGUAGGCCUAACACAUGCAAGUCGAACGGCAGCACAGUAAGAGCUUGCUCUUACGGGUGGCGAGUGGCGGACGGGUGAGGAAUACAUCGGAAUCUACUUUUUCGUGGGGGAUAACGUAGGGAAACUUACGCUAAUACCGCAUACGACCUACGGGUGGAAGCAGGGGAUCUUCGGACCUUGCGCGAUUGAAUGAGCCGAUGUCGGAUUAGCUAGUUGGCGGGGUAAAGGCCCACCAAGGCGACGAUCCGUAGCCGGUCUGAGAGGAUGAUCAGCCACACUGGAACUGAGACACGGUCCAGACUCCUACGGGAGGCAGCAGUGGGGAAUAUUGGACAAUGGGCGCAAGCCUGAUCCAGCCAUACCGCGUGGGUGAAGAAGGCCUUCGGGUUGUAAAGCCCUUUUGUUGGGAAAGAAAAGCAGCAGGUUAAUACCCCGCUGUUCUGACGGUACCCAAAGAAUAAGCACCGGCUAACUUCGUG